GUACUCGCUGAGGCAGCACAUAUACUAAAAUUGGAACGUUACAGAGAGGAUUGGCAUGGCCCCUCCGCAAGGAUGACACGCAAAUUCGUGAAGCAUUCCAUAUUAAA
rnacentral:snRNA from 1 species